GAAAGUAAAAAAGGGCGCAUGGCGGAUGCCUUGGCUCUCGGAGGCGAUGAAGGACGUGAUAAGCUGCGAUAAGCUUUGGGGAGGUGCAAAUGACCUUUGAUCCAGAGAUUUCCGAAUGGGACAACCCAAUAUCUUGAAGAGGUAUUAUCCAACGUUGUUGGAGGCUAACGCAGGGAACUGAAACAUCUUAGUACCUGCAGGAAAAGAAAAUAAACAAUGAUUCCCCCAGUAGUGGCGAGCGAACGGGGAACAGCCCAAACCAUCCAUGUUACGGCAUGGGUGGGGUUGUAGGACUACGCCGUUGCAUGAAGACAUCAGAGAAGAACUUUCUGGAAAGAAAGACCAUAGAGCAUGACAGUUGCGUAUUCGAAUGUUGUCGAAGCAUAGUAGUAUCCUGAGUAGCGCGGAGCACGAGGAAUUCUGCGUGAAUCUGCCGGGACCAUCCGGUAAGGCUAAAUACUCCCGAGAGACCGAUAGCGAACCAGUACCGUGAGGGAAAGGUGAAAAGCACUUCGAACAGAAGAGUGAAAUAGUUCCUGAAACCGUGCGCCUACAAGCGGUCGGAGCUCGUUAAUGAGUGACGGCGUGCCUUUUGCAUAAUGAACCUACGAGUUGCCUUUGCCGGCAAGGUUAAGUGUGACGACACACGUAUCCGAAGCGAAAGCGAGUCUGAACAGGGCGUAUAGUCGGCAGUGGCAGACGCGAAACCAAGUGAUCUACCCUUGGCCAGGUUGAAGGCUGGGUAACACCAGCUGGAGGACCGCACCAAUAAGCGUUGAAAAGCUUCUGGAUGAGCUGAGGGUAGGGGUGAAAGGCUAAUCAAACUUGGAGAUAGCUCGUACUCCCCGAAAUGCAUUUAGGUGCAGCCUUGCGGGUUACUGAUGUGAGGUAGAGCGACUGAUAAGAUGCGAGGGCUUCACCGCCUAUCAAGUCUUGACAAACUCCGAAUGCGCAUCAGUUCUACCGCAGGAGUGAGGGCAUGGGUGCUAAGGUCCGUGCCCGAGAGGAGAAGAAUCCGGACCACCUGCUAAGGUCCCGAAAUGACAGCUAAGUUAAACUAACGAAGUCUGACUGCUAAGACAGCUAGGAUGUUGGCUUGGAAGCAGCCAUUCAUUUAAAGAGUGCGUAACAGCUCACUAGUCGAGGAGUCGGGCGUGGAUAAUAAUCGGGUAUCAAGUUGUCUACCGAAGCAGUGGGAUCAUUUAUAUGAUCGGUAGGGGAGCAUUCCAGUCAGCGUCGAAGGCGUACCGUGAGGUAUUCUGGAGCGUCUGGAAAAGCAAAUGUAGGUAUAAGUAACGAUAAAGGGGGCGGGAAACCCCCUCGCCGAAAGACUAAGGUUUCCUGAUCAACGCUAAUCGGAUCAGGGUCAGUCGGGUCCUAAGGCUCAGCCGAACGGCGAUGCCGAUGGCAGAAACGGUUAAUAUUCCGUUACUACCUUCAGGAGUGACGUGGAGACGCAGUAGUGACAGUGCCGCCAUCUGACGGAAUAGAUGGUUGAAGGGUGUAGGAGUCGAUCAUGGCAGGCAAAUCCACCAUGAGAUCCGAACCUGACAGUAUGCCGCGUCCUUCGGGACAAGGCAAUAGUGCGCGUAAGCAUGCUGCCGAGAAAAUCCGCUAAACUUAAUCCUGCAGGUACCCGUACCGCAAACGGACACACGUAGUCGGGAUGAAUAUUCUAAGGCGCUUGAGUGAUUCACGGUUAAGGAACUAGGCAAACUGACCCUGUAACUUCGGGAUAAAGGGUCCCUACCCUUUUAUGGGAGGGCGCAGAGAAUCGGUCCAGGCAACUGUUUAACAAAAACACAGGGCUGUGCCAAAUCGAAAGAUCCAGUAUACAGCCUGACACCUGCCCGGUGCUGGAAGGUUAAGAGGAGAUGUCAUCGAUAAGAGAAGCGUUGAAUUGAAGCCCCAGUAAACGGCGGCCGUAACUAUAACGGUCCUAAGGUAGCGAAAUUCCUUGUCGGGUAAGUUCCGACCUGCACGAAUGGUGUAAUGAUCUGGACACUGUCUCAACCGUGAGCUCAGUGAAAUUGUAGUAUCGGUGAAGAUGCCGAUUACCCGCGAUGGGACGAAAAGACCCCGUGAACCUUUACUAUAGCUUAUCAUUGAAUCUGGGCACGUGAUGUGUAGGAUAGGUCGGAGGCUUUGAAGCAGGUACGCCAGUAUUUGUGGAGCCGCUGUUGAAAUACGACCCUUUAUUUGUUUGGAUUCUAACCCGUGGAUACGGGGACAUUGAUUGGUGGGUAGUUUGACUGGGGUGGUCGCCUCCAAAAGCGUAACGGAGGCUUCUAAAGGUGCCCUCCGGCCGAUUGGUAACCGGCCUUAGAGUGUAAUGGCAUAAGGGCGCUUGACUGGGAGACUGACAAGUCGAUCAGGUAGGAAACUAGAGCAUAGUGAUCCGGUGUUUCCGUAUGGAA
rnacentral:rRNA from 1 species